UACGUAUGGAGCAAGCGUUAUCCGGAUUUACUGGGUGUAAAGGGAGCGCAGGCGGCAGGCCAAGUCAGAUGUGAAAACCCGGGGCUCAACCCCGGGACUGCAUUUGAAACUGGUCGGCUGGAGUGCGGGAGAGGCAAGUGGAAUUCCUAGUGUAGCGGUGAAAUGCGUAGAUAUUAGGAGGAACACCAGUGGCGAAGGCGGCUUGCUGGACCGUAACUGACGCUGAGGCUCGAAAGCGUGGGGAGCAAACAGG
rnacentral:rRNA from 1 species